CGACGUGGUUAACGUACAGCCUGGAUUCUGAGCAUGCCGACGCGUGUGCUCAGCUAGGGAGAGGUCUGCAGGGCCUUUGGGUGUUGAGUCCGGGAGUGACGGUCAGCAGAGGAACGUCACGGUGGAGCUCCCCGUUGGAGGAGAGGGACUCGGGCAGACCGCAUGCUGCGUGGGCUCGAAGGAGUUCCCAGUCAGAGGGCAGAUGGAGGACACGGGGUGGAACACUGCCGAGAGACGACCAGAGUGACCAGGGCUUCUGGGUGAACCAGCAUGCGAGGACUCUAGCUGAAGCAGCCCGAGCGAUCAGACACAAAGUAGGUGUCGAACGUGAUAGAUCAAGGCCAUGUCCAGGGUGCUGUAGGGAGCUCCCGUCAGGUCCUGGGGAGAGAGGAGAACCCGCCUGCUCCUCCUCACGUCCUCUCCAGUCCACUCCCAGCGCUCAGGGGACCUGUCCGCGGGGGCGGCUGUCCGUUUGCAAGCCCCACGCAGUGCAGAACCUAUCUGUGACUGGAAAGACCAACAAAAUUCCAGAAGCUCUAAUGUCUACGCUGACUUACUCUCUAGGAAUAAGAUUCAGGGGCUCAGGAGAGUAUUCUAAUUUCUCCUCAGAUCAGAAGGAAAACUAAAAUAUUUUUAGAAAAGAAAAACGUUUAUGUAUAUUUAUAUAAUUGACAAUUUUCUAGCUCAAUUAUAUUGCAAAAUUUAAUGUGAAUAUUUUACAGGAGAACGUGGCCCAUGCGUGCACAAAUGCAGUGGCCCCAAUAAUUAUAACA
rnacentral:lncRNA from 1 species